AUCUUCGGGGCAGGGUGAAAAUCCCGACCGGCGGUACAGUCCGCGAGCGCUUCUUGCGGGAUCGGCGUGACAGCCUCUCGCUUUAUUCGGCGCAUGAUCCGGUGAAAUUCCGGGACCGACAGUGAGCACGCGAGUGCGAAGUCUGGAUGUGAGAAGA
rnacentral:ncRNA from 1 species